rnacentral:rRNA from 1 species
AGGACGAACGCUGGCGGCGUGCUUAACACAUGCAAGUCGAGCGGAAAGGCCCUUCGGGGUACUCGAGCGGCGAACGGGUGAGUAACACGUGAGUAAUCUGCCUUCAGCUCUGGGAUAGCUCCGGGAAACCGGGAUUAAUACCGGAUAUGACCACUUCGGACAUCUGUUGUGGUGGAAAGUUUUUCGGCUGGAGAUGAGCUCGCGGCCUAUCAGCUUGUUGGUGGGGUAAAGGCCUACCAAGGCGACGACGGGUAGCCGGCCUGAGAGGGCGACCGGCCACACUGGGACUGAGACACGGCCCAGACUCCUACGGGAGGCAGCAGUGGGGAAUAUUGCGCAAUGGGCGGAAGCCUGACGCAGCGACGCCGCGUGGGGGAUGAAGGCCUUCGGGCUGUAAACCCUUUCAGCAGGGACGAAGCGCAAGUGACGGUACCUGCAGAAGAAGCGCCGGCUAACUACGUGCCAGCAGCCGCGGUAA